rnacentral:rRNA from 1 species
UACAGAGGUCUCAAGCGUUGUUCGGAUUCAUUGGGCGUAAAGGGUGCGUAGGCGGCGAGGUAAGUCGGAUGUGAAAUCUCAGGGCUCAACCCUGAAACUGCAUUCGAUACUGCCUUGCUCGAGGACUGGAGAGGAGAUUGGAAUUCACGGUGUAGCAGUGAAAUGCGUAGAUAUCGUGAGGAAGGCCAGUGGCGAAGGCGGAUCUCUGGACAGUUCCUGACACUGAGGCACGAAGGCCAGGGGAGCAAACGGG